rnacentral:rRNA from 1 species
AUUGAACGCUGGCGGCAGGCCUAACACAUGCAAGUCGAACGAGUGGCGGACGGGUGAGUAAUGUCUGGGAAACUGCCCGAUGGAGGGGGAUAAAUAAUGGAAACGGUAGCUAAUACCGCAUACCAUCGGAUGUGCCCAGAUGGGAUUAGCUAGUAGGUGGGGUAACGGCUCACCUAGGCGACGAUCCCUAGCUGGUUGGAGAGGAUGACCAGCCACACUGGAACUGAGCCACGGUCCAGACUCCGAAGUGAGGCAGCGGUGGGGAAUAUUGCACAAAGGGCGCAAGCCUGAUGCAGCCAUGCCGCGUGUAUGAAGAAGGCCUUCGGGUUGUAAAGUACUUUCAGCGGGGAGGCGUUACCCGCAGAAGAAGCACCGGCUAACUCCGUGCCAGCAGCCGCGGUAAUUC